GAUGAACGCUGGCGGCUUGCCUAAUACAUGCAAGUCGAGCGAACGGACGAGAAGCUUGCUUCUCUGAUGUUAGCGGCGGACGGGUGAGUAACACGUGGAUAACCUACCUAUAAGACUGGGAUAACUUCGGGAAACCGUAGCUAAUACCGGAUAAUAUUUUGAACCGCAUGGUUCAAAAGUGAAAGACGGUCUUGCUGUCACUUAUAGAUGGAUCCGCGCUGCAUUAGCUAGUUGGUAAGGUAACGGCUUACCAAGGCAACGAUGCAUAGCCGACCUGAGAGGGUGAUCGGCCACACUGGAACUGAGACACGGUCCAGACUCCUACGGGAGGCAGCAGUAGGGAAUCUUCCGCAAUGGGCGAAAGCCUGACGGAGCAACGCCGCGUGAGUGAUGAAGGUCUUCGGAUCGUAAAACUCUGUUAUUAGGGAAGAACAUAUGUGUAAGUAACUGUGCACAUCUUGACGGUACCUAAUCAGAAAGCCACGGCUAACUACGUG
rnacentral:rRNA from 1 species